rnacentral:rRNA from 1 species
CCUACGGGAGGCAGCAGUGAGGAAUAUUGGUCAAUGGGCGGAAGCCUGAACCAGCCAAGUAGCGUGCAGGAUGACGGCCCUACGGGUUGUAAACUGCUUUUAUACGGGAAUCACGCGCCUUACGUGUAGGGCUUUGCAUGUACCGUCUGAAUAAGGACCGGCUAAUUCCGGGCCAGCAGCCGCGGUAAUACGGAGGAUGCGAGCGUUAUCCGGAUUUAUUGGGUUUAAGGGGUGCGUAGGCGGACUGUUAAGUCAGCGGUAAAAGCCCGGGGCUCAACCCCGGCGAGCCGUUGAAACUGGCUGUCUUGAGAUGACGAGAGGUAUGCGGAAUGCGCGGUGUAGCGGUGAAAUGCAUAGAUAUUACGCAGAACUCCGAUUGCGAAGGCAGCAUACCGGCGGCGAUCUGACGCUGAGGCACGAAAGCGUGGGUAUCGAACAGGAUUAGAUACCCCUGUAGUC